GAUGAACGCUGGCGGCGUGCCUAAUACAUGCAAGUCGAGCGAACAGAUGAGGAGCUUGCUCCUCUGACGUUAGCGGCGGACGGGUGAGUAACACGUGGAUAACCUACCUAUAAGACUGGGAUAACUUCGGGAAACCGGAGCUAAUACCGGAUAAUAUAUUGAACCGCAUGGUUCAUUAGUGAAAGACGGUUUUGCUGUCACUUAUAGAUGGAUCCGCGCCGCAUUAGCUAGUUGGUAAGGUAACGGCUUACCAAGGCAACGAUGCGUAGCCGACCUGAGAGGGUGAUCGGCCACACUGGAACUGAGAUACGGUCCAGACUCCUACGGGAGGCAGCAGUAGGGAAUCUUCCGCAAUGGGCGAAAGCCUGACGGAGCAACGCCGCGUGAGUGAUGAAGGUCUUCGGAUCGUAAAACUCUGUUAUUAGGGAAGAACAAAUGUGUAAGUAACUAUGCACGUCUUGACGGUACCUAAUCAGAAAGCCACGGCUAACUACGUG
rnacentral:rRNA from 1 species